GUGUGACUACAGUUCAAUAUUCAGCUAAAGAGAUGAUGGAGCGAUUCCUUUCCUCGCAGGUAUUUUUUCAGCUAUGUCCUGCAGUUCCAGCUUCAUGAAAAACUUUGUGAGGCAGCCAACCAAACAGGUUAUUUGCACAGAUGUGACAUCUACCAGUCCAAGGAAGCAGGAGAAAUUUUAAAGAAAAUUCUAGAGGCAGGCUCCUCCAAACCUUGGCCUGAAGUGCUCCAGGAUGCUAUAGAGACCAACAGGUUGGAUGCCAGCUCACUGAUGAAAUACUUUGACCCCAUUAUUAAGUGGCUGGAAAAGCAAAAUGUGGAUGAGACAUUGGGAUGGCCUGACAGCAACUGGGUCCCACCCAUCCCUGAGGGCUACCCUGAGGAUAUUGGUAAGAGCUGCCCAGAAUGAAUAGUAAGCAAAUGACACAAUAAGAGAAUCUGGAGGGAAAUACAAUAUAAAAGCUAUCUGCUACAUUCUAAAUAAAUCAGCAUGUGAGAAAGUGAAGAAAUCAUAUUUUUCUCUUUGAGAUGUAACUAAGACCUGAUGGCUGUGCAGGAUGGACUAGACAUGAUGGAGUUGUGCUUAACUGUCUCUUUGACUUUGAUAAAAUGUCUCGCAGUCUGUUCCAAGAUUUUCUCUGCAUGCAUGCACACAAACAGAAAAGUUCAGUUUUCUUCUCCACUGGAAGUGAACACCCCCCG